ACUGAAUAGAUACCCUGGUAGUCCACGCCCUAAACGAUGUCGACUAGGUGUUCGGUGAGGAGACUCAUUGAGUACCGCAGCUAACGCGUGAAGUCGACCGCCUGGGGAGUACGGUCGCAAGAUUAAAACUCAAAGGAAUUGACGGGGACCCGCACAAGCGGUGGAUGAUGUGGAUUAAUUCGAUGCAACGCGAAAAACCCUUACCUACCCUUGACAUGUACGGAACCCUGCUGAGAGGUGGGGUGCUCGAAAGAGAGCCGUAACACAGGUGCUGCAUGGCUGUCGUCAGCUCGUGUCGUGAGAUGUUGGGUUAAGUCCCGCAACGAGCGCAACCCUUGUCAUUAGUUGCUACGCAAGAGCACUCUAAUGAGACUGCCGGUGACAACCGGAGGAAGGUGGGGAUGACGUCAAGUCCUCAUGGCCCUUAUGGGUAGGGCGUUCACACGUCAUACAAUGGUCGGUUACAGAGGGUUUGCCAAGCCGCGAGGUUGGAGCCAAUCCCGAGAAAGCCGAUCGUAGUCCGGAUCGCAGU
rnacentral:rRNA from 1 species